AAAUGAGAAAGAGAUAAGCCAAAUUAACAAUUAGUUGCAUGGUAUUGUUUAGAGACUCUAAAUUUGCAUCCAUCAUAAAGUAAUUAUUUCUCUUUUGGUUGUUUGUAAAGCAAGGAGGAACAGAUACGCUUCCUCUACUACAUCUGUUUCUAUAGUAUCUAAUUGUUGUUACACCUGAAGGCAUGGUGCUUUCGAUGCUGAAGAAACUAUUAUCUCAAACCCCAACCUUGACAAAAGCUUCUAACUCUGUGAGAUUUUUCUUAAUAUCUGUGUUAAAGCUUCUAUGAUGGAUAAAUAUUAAGCUUCUUUACCUUGACCUGUUUAUUCUUGUACCUUAAAAACUAUUUGCAGUGUGGGCUAACCAUGGAGAUGAUAUACGCAUCCCGUAUUCUGGUACUCCAGCUUUAAAGGGAGAUUUUGUCAGGCAACAACUUUCUUGUUCUGCUAAAAGAAGAUUAAAUGAAGGCUGCAUUAGUGCAAAGCAUAUUUUCG
rnacentral:misc_RNA from 1 species